ACCCUCGCAGCAAGAAUGGCACGUGGGAAUUGACACCGCGAUCGUGGAACACAUGGCUGAUCUGCCUCGAAUAACUGCAAGCCGGCGCGUGCGUAGUGCCGUGGAGAACGAUCAGAAGUCCUGGACGACAAAGAAAAAAACUUCAAAGCUGCUUCUAGUAGUGGUGCCCCUGGUGUGCACCUUUACCCCAAAUGUCUGCACCUUUGCCUACCGCUGCCUCUGCGAACCCCGCUCCUGGACAACAGCUGGG